rnacentral:lncRNA from 1 species
AUGCAGCAGCAGCCCCCAAAAACUAAGAAGUGAAAUUCUUCUUCUUCCAGUUGUGAUUAGGAAUGAAAUUACAAGAAAGUUAACCCUCUGCUUAUUAUUAACCCAGCAAGGAAAACGAGGCAUAUGAUAGAACUGAUGACUACCAGUGAGGACCAAGAACGGGGAUCAGUUUCAAACACAUUUAGGGAUUGAAGAGUUGAUUUUAUCUUCCAAAAAGCAAAAAGGAAACGAAAUCUGAUGACGAAAAUAACAUCCAUCGACCAAAUUUCCAACAAUCUUAAGAGUAGAUCUCGUUGGUGGAUGUUUCCUUGUGAAAAGCUUGGACAUAAAGAUAAGUCUAGUAUUCAUUUAGUUGUUGCGAGUAUAACUCUUUCUCAUUAAACUUAUUGCCUUUCUACUCCAAAAAUUUGAAAAGAAUAUAUUGUGAGUUGUUUUGAGAAUGAUAGUAUUGACUCAUCUU